rnacentral:rRNA from 1 species
GACGAACGCUGGCGGCGUGCCUAACACAUGCAAGUCGAGCGAAGAACUUCGGUUCUUAGCGGCGGACGGGUGAGUAACACGUGGGUAACCUGCCUCAAAGAGGGGGAUAGCCUCCCGAAAGGGAGAUUAAUACCGCAUAAUAUUAGAUCUUCACAUGGAGAUUUAAUUAAAGGAGUAAUCCGCUUUGAGAUGGACCCGCGGCGCAUUAGCUAGUUGGUGAGGUAACGGCUCACCAAGGCGACGAUGCGUAGCCGACCUGAGAGGGUGAUCGGCCACAUUGGAACUGAGACACGGUCCAGACUCCUACGGGAGGCAGCAGUGGGGAAUAUUGCACAAUGGGCGAAAGCCUGAUGCAGCAACGCCGCGUGAGUGAUGAAGGCCUUCGGGUUGUAAAACUCUGUCUUUGGGGACGAUAAUGACGGUACCCAAGGAGGAAGCCACGGCUAACUACGUGCCAGCAGCCGCCGUAACAC